rnacentral:tRNA from 1 species
CGGUCUGUAGCCUCAGGUGGUUAGAGCGCACCCUGAUAAGGGUGAGUUCGGUAGUUCGAGUCUACCCAGACCCACCA